UACGAAGGUCCCAAGCGUUGUUCGGAAUCACUGGGCGUAAAGGGAGCGUAGGCGGCGUGGUAAGUCAGAUGUGAAAUCCCGGGGCUCAACCCCGGAACUGCAUCCGAUACUGCCAUGCUAGAGGAUUGGAGAGGUAGCUGGAAUUCUUGGUGUAGCAGUGAAAUGCGUAGAGAUCAAGAGGAACACUCGUGGCGAAAGCGAGCUACUGGACAAUUCCUGACGCUGAGGCUCGAGGGCUAGGGUAGCGAAAGGG
rnacentral:rRNA from 1 species